UACAGAGGGGGCAAGCGUUGUUCGGAAUUACUGGGCGUAAAGGGCGCGUAGGCGGCCUUCUAAGUCGAACGUGAAAUCCCCGGGCUCAACCCGGGAACUGCGUCCGAUACUGGAAGGCUUAAAUCCGGGAGAGGGAUGCGGAAUUCCAGGUGUAGCGGUGAAAUGCGUAGAUAUCUGGAGGAACACCGGUGGCGAAGGCGACAUCCUGGACCGGUAUUGACGCUGAGGCGCGAAAGCCAGGGGAGCAAACGGG
rnacentral:rRNA from 1 species